GUGGGGCAUGGUGGCACAUGCUUGUAGUCCCAGCUACUCAGCGGGCUUAGGCGUGAGGAUCGCUUGAGCCCAGGAGUUCUGAGCUGUAGUGCGCUAUGCCCAUCGGAUGUCUGCAUUAAGUGCAGCAUCAAGAUGGUGACCUCCCCGGGGGUGGGGACCACCAGGUUGCCUAAGGAAGGGUGAACAGGCCCAGGUCUGAAACGGAACAGGUCAAAACUCCCAUGCUAAUCAGUAGUGGGAUUGUGCCUGUGAAUAACCACUGCACUCCAGCCUGGGCAACAUGGCCAGACCUCAUCUCAA
rfam:Nomascus leucogenys chromosome 11, whole genome shotgun sequence.